AAUAUCUCAUCUCUCGAAGGGUCGAGGCCCAGAGGGCGCGGGUACUCUUUCUUUUCUAUCGUCCUUUUCAGGUUUGCCAACUUUGGCAUGGGUUAUCUGCUGCACUGCAUUCUUCUCCUACUUCAAUGAGCGUUGCCACUCUGACAAUUCAUUCAGCCAACAAACACACAUUUUCUCUUUUAUAUCUCUUUUGAAUCAGAUAAUGAAUCAUGAGAAAAGAGGUGUGCUGUAACCGGAGUUAAUGGUUUUGAUGCUCUCAACUUGAAGAGUAAAAGAGGGAGGAUAAAUAUAGGUUGGCACCUAGCUCAUGUGUAAUUCUGGUAGUUUUUGAGAACUAGCAUUUGAAAUCCAGUAUAAUAAACGAUGAAUCAAGUGAUGUUGCAGGCUUUUAGAGAAAAAGAAGUGGCUGAAAAGAUGAUGUUUGCAAUGACUUUGCUAGUGCCAGAGAUCACUUGCUUAAGGAAAAAAAGCUUAAUCCUGCAUUUGAUAACAUUAUUUCUAUGUUAACGCUAUGUGACAUACUAACUGCUGCUAGGAUUGAGAUUCCAGGUGGCAGAAUUGAUCAUUAUUGGGUCCUUCAGGUUAUGCCCUCUCCUACAUUUGCUGAUAUUCAAAGCCAAUACCAUAAAUUCGUUGAUUUGUUGCAGCCUAUCAGGACACAGUUUCCUUGCAAAUUGGCAAUGCAUCUCCUACAGGAUGCAUUUGAAGUCCUUAGAGACCAAAGGAAGGGUGUUGAGUUCGACUUGAAGAGGAUUACAAGCUGGGAGAAAUAUAAAUCUUUUGAUUUGCAACCAUCAAGCUGCCAGAGUAGCCUAAAUAAAGAAAGUGCAAGUUCUUCACAGAGCUCUUCAGCGUAGCUUAACAUGUGAGGGGAGAUGUAAACCUGCCGAAAUGCUUCCAAAAAUUGAUGCAACUUCUGCAACAGAUAAAGUGAAUUUGGAAUACAUGCAUAAACAAAAAGUGGAAGUGAUUGUUGAAGAGCUGAAUUUGUCUAAUCUGAAGUCUGAAUGGAAUAUUCAGGCAGAGGUAAACAAAUAUGCGGACAAUGUAAAUUUGCUGACUGCAUUGCAGCCUACAAGCUUAGAGGAGAAUUUAUAUUCUUCUUUAGAAGCUACAUGGCAGAAAAGACUUCUCCAGGAUUUAUACAACUUUGAGGAUGAUAGGAAAUUUCGGCAUUUCGAGGCAGGGCAAAUUUGGGUCGUUACUCAUAGAGGUAAUCAGCAUCAUAAUUUCCGGUAUGCUCGCAUUGAUUGAACAACAAAAGCAGCAACUUGUGUUACAUGGUUGAAACCAAUCCCUGUUACUUCUAGCGAGAGAAGGUGGUGUGGUGCAGGUUUGCCCGUCGUUUGUGGCUCGUUGAAAGUAAAUUCAGAGAUGCAGAUGAGUAUUGAGGUCAGAUGGCCCUCAAUUGCAUACUACAAAUGCUCUUGGGUUCAUGGUGUAACAGAGAAGCAAUUUGAAGUUUACCCGAAAAGGGUUGAGAUUUGGGCAGUUUACAAGGACUGGAUUCUUGAUGAUUGGUCCUGUAAUCCUGAUUCUGUGAAAAGAUGCAAUUUUUGAGUUAGUUGAAAUCAUCUCAGAUUUUUCAAAAUGUUUAGGUUCUUAUGGAGCAUGUCUGGUAAAGGUUGAUGGUUU